CUCAGUCGACCUUCACCUUUUUUGACCCUGUACAGAGUAUACAAUUUCAAUUUCUUAAAGUUUGGAUUUGUGAAUAACAAGGAAAAUGACAGCAAAAGUUGAUAAAACAAAGCGUAUAGGAAGAUUUUAUUUCGGGGGGAUAGCCAGUGCCAUGGCAGCAUGUUGUACUCAUCCUUUAGAUUUGUUGAAGGUACACAUGCAGACCCAACAGGGUCAGAUCAGUAUAUUCCUCAUGGCCAAAAGAUUGUACAAGUCAGAUGGUGUACUAGGUUUCUACAAUGGUCUAUCAGCCUCUGUACUUAGACAGCUAACAUAUUCGAUGACAAGAUUUUCUGUUUAUGAUGUUGGCCGUAAAGCAUUAACCAAAGAUGGACGGCACAUGCCAUUUUACGAGAAAGUACUGUUAGCUGGAACUGCCGGUGCAAUGGGAGGGUUUGUCGGAACUCCACCUGAUAUGGUCAAUGUUCGGAUGCAGAAUGAUGUGAAGUUACCUCCAGAGCAAAGAAGAAAUUACAAACAUGCACUAGAUGGUUUAUAUAGAGUGUUUAAAGAGGAAGGACCAAUUAAGAUGUUUAACGGCGCUACAAUGGCCACUUCCCGUGCUGUUCUUGUCACCGUUGGACAACUUGCAUUCUAUGAUCAGAUAAAGGGAAUGUUACUGGGAAGUGUAAUGUUCAAAAAAGACAAUGAAAUUUUACAUUUUACCUCAAGUUUCUGUGCUGGAGGUAUAGCCACGCUGCUCACAAUGCCAUUAGAUGUGAUGAAAACUAGAAUGAUGAACGCCCCGACUGGAAAAUACAAGAACAUAUUAGCUUGUGCUGUGGAUAUAGGAAAAAAUGGACCUCUAGGAUUUUUCAAGGGAUUCAUGCCGGCCUUCGUGAGGCUUGGACCUCACACUAUCCUUAUUUUCAUGUUCCUAGAGCAGAUUAGAUUUCAUUUUGGUGAUGACCCCAAACCUUGAAUGGCUGUUGACCCGAAAAUCUGUAUGGAGAAUGGCCCCGUGUAUUGAACGAAGGAUUUAUGCCUGCUUUCGUUCGACUGGGUCCACACACUAUAUUGACUUUCAUGUUCCUAGAACAGAUCAGAAUGCACUUCGGCGAUGAUCCAAAACCAGCUGCUAGCUCAUAGAACAUAGGAAUAUUUCAAAUUUGCAUCCACAGUUUUACAGUGCCCACCGUUAUCAAAGUGUGGUUGUGUAUAACAUAUAGUGGUAUGAAUCUGUUUUGGGGAUAUUAAAUUGAUUACAGUUUGAAUUUUACUGGGGGUAUGAAGACAGAAUAUCUUGUGUUGCUGUACCGAGGUGAUACUGUCAGAAAUGAAAUUUUAGAGAGAAUUAGAUUUCAAUAUGCGUAUAUGUACACAUAUAUGUAGUCAUUGAUAUUUCAGUGUGUGUAUUUAUACGCAUAUGUGUAGUUGUUGAUAUUUGAAUAUGUGUAAGCAAACUUACAAUAAUAAUGAUGAGCAUUAGGUCAAAUUGUCCAGUGAAUUCUUCAAGUGUUUUGCCUAACCUUAAGCAUGCUAGAUAAAUUGACGUCUGCUGGAAAUGUCGUCUGCUAAAAUUGUAAAGUUCAUUCAAUUUGCUCCAAAAUUGGAAGAAAUAUUGUUAGACUAGCAAACAGCUUGGAACCUGAUCAGACGCCGAUUUAAUCGGCGUCUGAUCUGGUUCCAAGCUGUUUGCAAAGGCUGUUAAAUACUCGUGCUGCAGGCUAAGGGUUAAAUGUACAAGGGUUUGAAGGACAGAAUGUGGUUUUAACAAGUACUUUAUAAACGUGUACAAGUUAUGUUACAACUUCAACAUUGUUAAUUUUAACACCACAGGUUCUUAUGGAAACACAUUUCCUCCACCAGAGCCUCCACCUCUUUUUUUAUCCCAAUGUUGUUUUAAGUUCCUGUAACUAAUAUUUAGCUUGAUAUAUCACAGUUGGUUUUACACUGCUGUCAUUUUAAUGGAUCAUAAGUAAUGAAAUGUGUUUUUAGCUUGCUUUAGUACAAAGUGUUCAUCGGAAACAUUUAGGAUCAUUUAAUGUCCUUCAUGAUUACUGUAGCUCAAAAGAGAAAAAUAUUUCAGUAGCAAAUUCACCUACAUUGGUGUUUUGAUUUAAAAUGAUUUCUCUUGAUGAUAUCUAUAAUAAUUGUUCAAACCUGCUGUAAAACUCAGGUGAGUGGUCAAAGGCCAUCAUGACCAUCUCAUUAUAGGAAGAGGAAUCAUGAUAAUUUUUAAUUGUCUUGCUCUAUAGUGUUAUAUUGUUAUAUUUAGAGGUUAUCAGCACUCACUGCACUGUUUAUAUAGUAUGAAAGCUUUGAAUGGAAAAGUUUUACUUUUU
rnacentral:misc_RNA from 1 species